UUGUACUUCAGACACACAUAUACUAAAACUGGAAAAAUACAGAGAAGAUUAGCAUGGCCCUGUACAAGGAUAACAGACACAUUUAUGAAGCAUCCCAUCUAUUC